GGAGUGGUGCUCGAGUGGUUGAAGAGGCACGCCUGGAAAGCGUGUAUACGCCAAAAGCGUAUCGGGGGUUCGAAUCCCCCUCACUCCGCAA
rnacentral:tRNA from 1 species